UACGGAGGAUCCAAGCGUUGUCCGGAAUCAUUGGGCGUAAAGAGCGUGUAGGCGGCUUGUUAAGUCUUGCGUGAAAUCUCGGGGCUCAACCCCGAGCGGUCGUGAGAAACUGGCAGGCUAGAGUGCGGGAGAGGAGAGUGGAAUUCCUGGUGUAGCGGUGAAAUGCGCAGAUAUCAGGAAGAACACCAAUGGCGAAGGCAGCUCUCUGGGACGGUACUGACGCUGAGACGCGAAAGCGUGGGGAGCGAACAGG
rnacentral:rRNA from 1 species